rnacentral:rRNA from 1 species
UACGAAGGGGGCUAGCGUUGCUCGGAAUUACUGGGCGUAAAGGGCGCGUAGGCGGAUUGCUAAGUUAGAGGUGAAAGCCCAGGGCUCAACCCUGGAAUUGCCUUUAAUACUGGCAGCCUUGAGUAUGGCAGAGGUGUGUGGAACUCCGAGUGUAGAGGUGAAAUUCGUAGAUAUUCGGAAGAACACCAGUGGCGAAGGCGACACACUGGGCCAUUACUGACGCUGAGGCGCGAAAGCGUGGGGAGCAAACAGG